rnacentral:rRNA from 1 species
UGAGCAAUCUGCCCUUCUCAUCGGAAUAAGCGUUGGAAACGACGUCUAAUGCCGAAUACGACCUCCUUUCGCAUGAUCGGAGGUGGAAAGCUCCGGCGGAGAAGGAUGAGCUCGCGGCCUAUCAGCUUGUUGGUGAGGUAAUGGCUCACCAAGGCGACGACGGGUAGCCGGCCUGAGAGGGUGACCGGCCACACUGGGACUGAGACACGGCCCAGACUCCUAGGGAGG